AUUGCUCGACGCUAGAGGUUAAAUAGAUUUUUGGAACAGGGAGAUGGAAUAGGGGCUUGCUCCGUCCACUCCACGCAUCGAACUGGUAUUGCAGUACCUCCAGGAUCGGUGCACCCCCU
rnacentral:snRNA from 1 species